AUUAAUUCCUUUGCCCAAUAGAGAUGACACAACUCCGUUAGAUGAUGAUUGUAAUUUUGCAAGGGAUAGCUUUACUGUAUUCGUGAAGGCUUUCAUGGUCGGGAUCUAAUGGUUGUUGUGGGUUUUUCAGGCUCUUUGGCCGUGUUCUGAAGGUUGUUCUUGAAGAUGCUGGCCACAGAGACUGGCGAAAUGUUAGGAAGAACAACCUUCAGAACAUGGCUGAAGAGCCUGAAAAACCCACAACAACCGAUAGUUUUACUCCUUUUGCAAUGUUGCUCUAGCUUAUUAGUUACUUUUAUAAGUUACGGAAGGGUGACCUCGCUAAAUGAUGAAGGAACACAUGCCGUACAGGGGCUUAUUGAAGUGAGGAUGGAGUGGGUCCCUAGUAAGUGGCUUUAAGCAUUUCCAAAUCUUUCUUUCAGAAACAAAAAAUAAAGUGAAGAGUUCCAUUUGACGAAAAGGAAACACAAACUACUUUCCAGUAUAGAUAACUGUGAGAAUGCGCUAUAUUAACAUCCUGACAUUUCUUCCCCGCGGUAAUCAACAUGAGUCGAUCUGUGGCAUUUUUCUUCUGUCGACCCGGGAAAUUGCUCCAGGGCUCCGUGGAGAAAAUUAAACACUGCCUGGUGGUUUGUUUUUAAUGGAGAGAGAGAAAACCAUUCCAGUGGGGGUGGAAGAGUCUGAUGAGGUCGGGGAUCACAAAAGCAAAAUACAGAUUGUAUUCUGCAUGCGUCCACCUCACAGUCUUCUGAAGCACAUAUUUACUCAUGAAAUAAAGGAUCUGAGGCUGGAUUUCCCUGUUCUCAACCCAACAGGAACCACUACACGACAUAGCCUUUCUUAUUGGAGAUGUCAAGGCAGAAACGGAUUGGUUGAAAAACAAUCCAACAGUAAAUGAGUUUAAAGGGUGCGAUAUACAAAACAGCACACCAUGAAUAAAACUUCCCAGUAUGUAAAUGAGAAGCUGGGC
rnacentral:lncRNA from 1 species